CAAGAAGAAGGGAUAACGUGCCAUAUUGAAUUCAUUUUUAAAGGUUUAUUACCAUUCAAAUUAUAUAAUGGGCCUAUAGCUCAGCUGGUUAGAGCGCACGCCUGAUAAGCGUGAGGUCGGUGGUUCGAGUCCACUUAGGCCCACCAUUUAUUUGUACAUUGAAAACUAGAUAAGCAAGUAAGAUUUUACCAAGCAAAACCGAGUGAAUAGAGUUUUAAAUAAGCUUGAAUUCAUAAAUAAUCGCUAGUGUUCGAAAGAACACUCACAAGAUUAAUAACUAGUUUAAGCUAUUUAUUUUGAAUAACAAUUCAAAAUAUGGUGGAAACAUAGAUUAAGUUAUUAAGGGCGCACGGUGGAUGCCUUGGCACUAGAAGCCGAUGAAGGACGUUACUAACGACAUAUGCUUUGGGUAACUGUAAAUAAGCGUUGAUCCAGAAAUUUCCGAAUGGGGGAACCCAACAUGAGUUAUGUCAUGUUAUCGACAUGUGAAUUCAUAGCAUGUCAGAAGGCAGACCCGGAGAACUGAAACAUCUUAGUACCCGGAGGAAGAGAAAGAAAAAUCGAUUCCCUGAGUAGCGGCGAGCGAAAACAA
rnacentral:rRNA from 1 species